rnacentral:tmRNA from 1 species
GGGGGUGCCGGGCUUCGAUAGAAGCUCCUGGCUACACUCGCAUACCGAGGACGCUCUUCGCCUCGUAAAUCACUGGAGCAAUAUAAUAAGUGCAAACUUAUUUACAAAAGCUAAAGUUGCUGUAGCAAAUUUAUUUGCUGUCAGAGCUUUCGCUCCGGUAAUGGCUUAAUAACCAAUACCCAUCGCGCCAACAAUACUCUGUAGUUGGAGCGCGGUGUCACUAACAGAGAGUAGCUAUAUUGGAGCGCCGACUGUAAUAUAGUGAAGUUACCCGGCUAGUCAACGCGAUUUUCGUCCCCUUCUAUCGUGUUGAUAAAAUACCAAGGGACACUAAGUAUGUAGACGGUUUAGUCAAAGUUAUCUACACGCGAGUUCAACUCUCGCCACCUCCACGA